CCAAAAUAAACACUUCACAUUACGACGCCAAGCUUGAGGUGAUAAGAUCGUCAACGUGUAAUUGAUCUAUUGAUUGCCAACGAAAACAUUAAAGAGUAUCUGAAUGCAGGUCACGAGAAACGUUUUGUUGUAGCUAAUUCCCCCGGAACUUUCGACGACAAUAGUCAUCUCUUGCAAUUGCUGUUACGUCCAAAUGCAAAUAGAUAGUUAUGGGGGAAAGAUGACAUCAUUUACUACGGCACCCUAAUCGGUACAAAUGGAGACAUGGCGAUGGUGAAAAUGAACAUCAAUAAUGUCGAUGUUCUUUGAUUUGGAGAUGUCUAGCAUUUUAGUCGAGUGAGUAAUUGCUUUGCCAAUUUGAUGUCAUUGCUUCCAUGAAAUGGAUGGUAAUGAAAAACGAUUCGAUUUGGCUUCAAAACUACUAAUUGCCAAUACAG